CCUACAAAGUAAAAAGUGUUUUCUCUCUUGUCCUUUACAGGAAGUUUGCUGAUGGCCAGAACGUCAUAAAAACAGGUGAUUUGCUCCAUUCCAUUUCUCAAUCCUCCUCUCACCCAACCUGGAAUAGCUUCUUCCUGAAGGCUUUGCUGCCUACCAGCCUCAGACAAGCCUGUGGAUUAGGAGGAGUGUGUCCCGGUGCCUAACAUGGCCAACAUCCCCUUUGCCCCUUGCCCAUGGCUUGAGCACCAGAACCUUGGAGAGAUUCAGACUCCAGUGGCUUGUAAAAGAGUGCUCUGUGCUUACCGGCACACUACCCCAGGUCUUCUGUUGUGAGUGAAGCUUCUUCUGAAGAAGAAAGCCAUGGAGAAGUCAAUUCCUCCCAAACACUACCCAGGGAAUGGGGUAAGAAUCUAUUGAUGUUCACUGUCAGACCAGAAAUUAAGAGAGCCAGAGGAGCACCCAAUGAGGCCUGGAACAGUCCUAUUUUA
rnacentral:lncRNA from 1 species